GCGUUUUGUUUGAAGAAGGAAACAAUUCAUGUAUACUCGGAUUUAUUGCUGUUUUGUUUAUACUCAACGCAACGCCCAUGCUUAGAAGGUUGACAAGGAAAAUUAAUCAAACGGUUCUUGAGGGCUUGGUGAUUGAUUUGAAAGUUUGAAGGAAAUGAUUCAUAGGCCUUAAGUAUAGUUUGCUAUUCCAAAACCUGUAUACUGUCUACUAGAAAGAACGAGUAGUCUGUUUAGCUUUUCAGUUUGUCUGGAUAGUUGUUUUCGAUGGAUUUCGAAUUCCUGUACUGCUUCGUGUAACCGUACUCUUCAACUUUUCAGCAUUGCGAAAUUAUUCUUUUUAGCUUUUUUUAGAGUUUUGAUCAUUAGGAAUAUUCAUAAGAGAGGCUCUUCAUGGAAUCGUUGACGCGUUGCGGAAAACAUAGAUCAUUCCUACCGCUUUUAUUAUGGCUGCAGACUUCAUACUUCUGUAUACAGUAGGAAAAAAGAGGCCUGGACAUCAAUUGAAUCGCUGGGUGCAGUGUACGUGAGUCUUCUGCCUUUAAAAUUCAUUUACAGUUUAAUCCUACCUUUCAUUUGUAUAAAAUCUGUAUCCAUCAUUUAAGUGCUUGUCAGAUCACAACGAAUUUUUGGUAGAAGAGUCUCGUUUGAAUUACUGAACGUUACUAAAAAUCAAGCAAUGAAGAAAGUUUUAUAGAUAGUUUCAAUUCCCCAUACAAAUAUUAAAUUGUAUUGGUAACAAUUUUUGCUUGUGCAAAUUUGUUGGCUGAAUGCUCUCGUCUAUACUAGCUUCUUUUGGCAUUUGUUACGGAGAUAAAAAGUAUGGAACUUAAAAGAGCUAUUAUAAAAAAAAUGACUUGAAGGUUUUCCUUCUACAUUUAAUUUUGGUUUUUUGGUCGAUUCUUUGUCCGUGCUAAAUGUACAACUUCGUGUUGAAGGUACUAUUUGGAAGGAAACAAAAACCGACUUGUGGUCACAAUGUACAUUCAAACGAAUAGCAACUCUGGUCUGUAUUCAAUUUCCUUGAACUUGGAUUCUUUGCGGCAAACAAUAAUGAACGUCCUGUUUCUCAAAAAAAUAAUGCUUAGGGUAAGAUACUAUUUUACAUUACGUGAGAUCCAUGGAUCAAAGCUUUUGCUUGUUCGCUAGUAAAAUAGUUGACUACCCAUUCAUUAAUAUUUUGAGUGUAGCUCGUCCGUUGUUCCUCUUGAGCGCGUUUUAGGUUUUUUUCACUUGGUCUGAGCAAAAUGUUAAAAGGAACGGGCCCAUUUUUUGGUAUGUUUUAAUGAUUAAAUUUAAAAUUACUAACUAUUCAAUUCCCAAAUUAUCAGAAUUGCGUAUUUAGUAAGAACGCGGUUGCUCAUCUUUUUAUUAAAACAUGCUGAAUUCCGUUUCCGGUUUCAAAAUUUUGAGAAAGUGAUGAAUCUUAUUAUAAUGUAAAAUAAAUUUAAUGUAUUUAUUUGCGUACUAGA
rnacentral:misc_RNA from 1 species